rnacentral:misc_RNA from 1 species
AACCAUUCUCACCUGCGGCUAGACCUGCGGAGGGAUCAUUAACAAGCCGUGGGGAUCACCCUGAAAGGGGCAGAUUCCUCACCUGGCCAUCCUUGUUUACUUUAAUGCUGUUGCUUUGGUGAGCCUGCCAUCAGGCUGCCGGUGAAACUCAGUUUCCGGGCUCGUUGUUCACCAAGCUUUUAACUAAAUCUGUAAAGUUUUGUUGUCUGAGUGAAAGCAUAACUUGUAAAAAACUUUUAA